AUACGGCUGACGAGUCCCAGGUGGGACGAAACGCAUGUCCUGGAU
rnacentral:hammerhead_ribozyme from 1 species